UACGUAGGGGGCAAGCGUUGUCCGGAUUUAUUGGGCGUAAAGAGCGUGUAGGCGGCUAGGUAGGUCCGUUGUGAAAACUCGAGGCUCAACCUCGAGACGCCGAUGGAAACCAUUUGGCUAGAGUCCGGAAGAGGAGAGUGGAAUUCCUGGUGUAGCGGUGAAAUGCGCAGAUAUCAGGAAGAACACCAAUGGCGAAAGCAGCUCUCUGGGACGGUACUGACGCUGAGACGCGAAAGCGUGGGGAGCGAACAGG
rnacentral:rRNA from 1 species